rnacentral:rRNA from 1 species
UGGGGAAUAUUGCGCAAUGGCCGCAAGGCUGACGCAGCGACGCCGCGUGUGGGAUGACGCCCUUCGGGGUGUAAACCACUGUUGCCCGGGACGAACGAGGGGAUUUAUCCCCUGUGACGGUACCGGGUGAGGAAGCACCGGCUAACUCCGUGCCAGCAGCCGCGGUAAUACGGAGGGUGCGAGCGUUGUCCGGAAUCACUGGGCGUAAAGGGCGCGUAGGCGGCUUGGUAAGGGGGCGGUGAAAGCCCGGGGCUCAACCCCGGGUCUGCCGGACCGACUGCCGAGCUUGAGCACACUAGGGGCGGGUGGAAUUCCGGGUGUAGCGGUGGAAUGCGUAGAGAUCCGGAAGAACACCGGUGGCGAAGGCGGCCCGCCGGGGUGUAGCUGACGCUGAGGCGCGACAGCGUGGGGAGCAAACAGGAUUAGAUACCCUGGUAGUCCACGCCGUAAACGAUGGGCACUAGGUGCUCGGGGGAGCGACCCCUUGGGUGCCGGCGCUAACGCAUUAAGUGCCCCGCCUGGGGAGUACGGCCGCAAGGC